rnacentral:misc_RNA from 1 species
UACAAUUCAUUACAUAUUUAACAUAUGUGCUUCACGUGCAUAUUACAGAAUAUAUUGUAAGCACAUUCUAAGUGGACACAAAAUUAUCUCUUAUGUAUUUCUUUUUUCCUCAAAGUUGCAAGGGAACACAACAGUUGUAUCCCUGCAUGCAUGAUAAAAAUAUUUCAUGAGCAAAUGUUCCCCUUAAUCGAUUGACUGAGGGAACACCUGUUUGAUGGCUUUUUAGGGGCAGUCUUCACGCAGAUAUUCAAUGAUAUACUCUGCGCUGUCAUCGUGAAAUAACUCGCGGCGACAGUGUAGUUUCCUUCCAUUUUCUCAAGAGUAUUGUAACUUUGUUAUAUAUUUCCUUAAGAGGAAUAGAAGCGAGUGCAGGGAGAAAUAUAAGAUUAUGACUCGUAAAAGUACGAUUAAUCGCAUAGUAAUGCUUCUGCUACCUUUGUACGGUAUCUGGCCAGGCAGAUCGAUGAUUUUAAUUAUCAGAGUGUUUUGGGUCAUUACAAUAGCAUUCAUCGAAUUUUGUCAUUAUCUUUAUUUUUCAACGCACUUGAAUAUCCAGAAUUUUUUCAACUUGGUGGAUUGCUUGUGUAGCUUUUUGGCGCACGCCAAAGUGCUCAUUAAACUCGUUGCGUUUUGGGUAAAUCAGCGAAAACUCGUGGAAACUUUGACGUUAAUCAUGGACGACUGGAGCGAUUGUGCUAAGAGUGACAUUGGCAUGCGGGUGACGAUGCAUAAGGCAAAAUUAUCGGAUCGUAUCACUAACGCAAUACUUAUUCUUCAUACGAUGUCUAUUUUCGUUUAUUGUCUUGGAGUCAUCAUAGCUGAUGCCGAUGUUACCGAUCAAACGAUUGAAUUGCCUUUCGUCAACAAGUUGACACUCCCUUUCAACAUUAACAUCCAGAAUACAUAUAGACUAAUAUUAAUCGCGGAAUUCGUGCAUAUGAUCUUUUCUAACUGGUUAUUAGGGAUUGUAAAUGCCAUACUUUUAACUUUGGUUUUGCAUAUGGGAGGUCAAGUGGAGAUUCUACAAAGCUGGUUAUCACAGCUUGUGCCCAAAAAGAUUGGAAAUAAAGAAGAAUCAAUUGUCACCUCGACAAAUAAAAUUAUUCGAAAGCAUAACAAAAUUAUACAAUUUUCAGAAAAUAUUGAGAUUUUAUAUACAUACAUCGCGCUGUUGCUAUUUGCAUCGAAUACAAUAUUAAUGUGUUCGAUAGCUUUUCUCAUCGUAACCGCUAUUGGCACUCCUGAUGCUACAGAACAGAUUUUAAAAUCUAUUUUAUUUUUCUGGACUACAAAUCUCGAAGCCUUUAUAUUUUGCUACGCUGGAGAAUAUCUAAGCAAUAAGAGCAGAGCCAUCGAAUUUGCAACAUAUAAUUGUCCAUGGUACAAUUUAAAACCUAAAGAUAUUCGUAUAUUGUUAUUUAUAAUAUUAAGAUCGCAGAAAGAAUUGACACUCACAGCUGGCAAGAUAAUGGAUCUCUCCUUAAAAUCUUUUUCAAGCAUCAUGAACGCUUCAGGAUCCUACCUGUCAGUAAUGUUGGCGAUGCAAUGAACAUCGUAUUCACUUCAGAAGUUUAUAAUCAAUAGUGGUGAAGCACAUAUACAAAGUGAUAUGUAAAUAUGUACUCAGCAGUUACGCUAUCACAUACACAUCGAAUUAGCAAUAUAAGAACAUAUUACAUAUGCACAGAAGGAUACAUAAAUAAGAGAUUGCAUGACUUGUUUUUCCAUUUUUUUUCUUCGCUCUC